rnacentral:rRNA from 1 species
UACGGGGGGAGCAAACGUUGUUCGGAAUUACUGGGCGUAAAGGGCGCGUAGGCGGUCCUGUAAGUGGUGUGUGAAAUCCGAUGGCUCAACCAUCGAGCUGCGCUCCAUACUGCAGGACUUGAGUACAGCAGAGGAAAGUGGAAUUCCUGGUGUAGCGGUGAAAUGCGCAGAUAUCAGGAGGAACACCGAUUGCGAAGGCAGCUCGCUGGGACGUCACUGACGCUGAGACGCGAAAGCGUGGGGAGCAAACAGG